rnacentral:rRNA from 1 species
CACGUAGGGGGCGAGCGUUGUCCGGAUUUAUUGGGCGUAAAGAGCUCGUAGGCGGUUUGUUGCGUCGGCUGUGAAAUCCCGAGGCUCAACCUCGGGUCUGCAGUCGAUACGAGCAAACUAGAGUGUUGCAGGGGAGACUGGAAUUCCUGGUGUAGCGGUGAAAUGCGCAGAUAUCAGGAGGAACACCGGUGGCGAAGGCGGGUCUCUGGGCAACAACUGACGCUGGAGGAGCGAAAGCGUGGGGAGCGAACAGG